GACGAACGCUGGCGGCGUGCUUAACACAUGCAAGUCGAACGGAAAGGCCCUGCUUUUGUGGGGUGCUCGAGUGGCGAACGGGUGAGUAACACGUGAGUAACCUGCCCUUGACUUUGGGAUAACUUCAGGAAACUGGGGCUAAUACCGGAUAGGAGCUCCUGCUGCAUGGUGGGGGUUGGAAAGUUUCGGCGGUUGGGGAUGGACUCGCGGCUUAUCAGCUUGUUGGUGGGGUAGUGGCUUACCAAGGCUUUGACGGGUAGCCGGCCUGAGAGGGUGACCGGCCACAGUGGGACUGAGAUACGGCCCAGACUCCUACGGGAGGCAGCAGUGGGGAAUAUUGCACAAUGGGCGGAAGCCUGAUGCAGCAACGCCGCGUGCAGGAUGACGGCCUUCGGGUUGUAAACCGCUUUCGCCUGUGACGAAGCGUGAGUGACGGUAAUGGGUAAAGAAGCACCGGCUAACUACGUG
rnacentral:rRNA from 1 species